rnacentral:rRNA from 1 species
ACGCUGGCGGCACGCCUUAUACAUGCAAGUCGAACGCAGUAGCAAUACUGAGUGGCAGACGGGUGAGUAUAAUGUGGGAAUCUGCCUUUUGGUUUGGAAUAACUCGGGGAAACCUGAGCUAAUACUGGAUAAGCCCUUACGGGGAAAGCUUUAUGCGCCAAAAGAUGAGCCCGCACUUGAUUAGCUUGUUGGUGAGGUAAAAGCUCACCAAGGCAACGAUCAAUAGCUGUUCUUAGAGGAAGACCAGCCACAUUGGGACUGAGACACGGCCCAGACUCCUACGGGAGGCAGCAGUAAGGAAUCUUGCACAAUGGGGGAAACCCUGAUGCAGCGAUGCCGCGUGAGUGAAGAAGGCCUUUGGGUUGUAAAACUCUUUCGUCGGGGAAGAAAAUGACUGUACCCGAAUAAGAAGGUCCGGCUAACUUCGUGCCAGCAGCCGCGGUAAUACGAAGGGACCUAGCGUAGUUCGGAAUUACUGGGCUUAAAGAGCUCGUAGGUGGUUAGAAAAGUUGGUGGUGAAAUCCCAAGGCUCAACCUUGGAACUGCCAUCAAAACUUUCUAGCUAGAGUGUGAUAGAGGAAAGUGGAAUUUCUAGUGUAGAGGUGAAAUUCGUAGAUAUUAGAAAGAACACCAAAUGCGAAGGCAACUUUCUGGAUCGCAACUGACACUGAGGAGCGAAAGCAUGGGUAGCGAAGAGGAUUAGAUACCCUCGUAGUCCAUGCCGUAAACGAUGUGUGCUAGACGUUGGAAAUUUAUUUUCAGUGUCGCAGCAAAAGCGUUAAGCACACCGCCUGGGGAGUACGACCGCA